rfam:Candidatus Magnetoovum chiemensis strain CS-04 SAG2510, whole genome shotgun sequence.
GCCCCCUUAGCUCAGGCGGAUAGAGCACAGGAUUCCUAAUCCUGGCGCCGCUGGUUCGAGUCCAGCAGGGGGCA